UACACUGGGAAGGGUGAGACUGAGGU
rnacentral:piRNA from 1 species